rnacentral:lncRNA from 1 species
UUAAAAGCAAAGAGUCUUUAAUCUUAUGAGUUAACUUGGGUUUCCCCGUCCAUCCAUCCAACACAGCGGGUGACGCAGGAGGACCUCGAGCAGCCGUGGAGCAGGAAAUAUAUUGGGAUAGAGCAAGGGGAGUGUCUGGGGGGGGGGGUCCGCUAGUUGCAUAGCAACAGUCUCAGGAUUGGUGCACUUCCCGGCUUGGGCAACCUGUCCUGUGCUGAUUGGUCAGCUGCAGUUGCAGGAAGGUUGCUAUGCCUAGAGGCCCUCCCAGGGCGGUUGCUAUGCUCUGCAUUCCACUGUUAUCAGUAAAGCACAUCCAGAGCCUGUCAGGAAACUUCUGAUUGGUUCCUCAGAGGGUAUCUGGCUUCCUAGUGACUAGGGCAAGGUUGGGAGCUCAGCACAUGUUGUUGAGUCAGAGGCCUACAUCUUGUUGGGUCUUUUCUGCAGCCUGUCAUGGCUGCCAAGGCAGGGGGCUGGGCCCUUCAGAGAAUAGUAUCAGUCAGUUCAUUAUUUGUCUUAGUUACUGUUCCAUUGCUGUGAAGAGAGAUCAAGGCAAAAAAAGAAAGAAAGAAAGAAAGAAAGAAAGAAAGAAAGAAAGAAAGAAAGAAAGAAAGGAAAAAGGAAAGAAAGAAAGAAAAGAAAAGAAAAGAAAAGAAAAGAAAAGAAGAGAAGAGAAAGCAUUUCAUUGGCAGCUCACAGUUUCAGAGGGUGAACUUGUGAGCAUCGUGGCAGGGAGUCGUGGCAGGGAGUUGUGGUAGGGAGUCGUGGCAGGGAGUCCUGGCAGGGAGGAGUCAUGGCAGGGAGUCGUGGCAGGGAGGAGUCGUGGCAGGGAGUCGUGGCAGGGAGUCGUGGCAGGGAGGAGUCGUGGCAGGGAGGAGUCGUGGCAGGGAGUCGUGGCAGGGAGGAGUCGUGGCAGCAGGCAAGUGUGGUGCUGGAGCAGUAGCUGAGAGUUCACAUCUGGUUGACAGGCACAAGGCAGAAUGAGUGAGUCUCGGCCUGGCAUGGACUUCUGAAACCUCAAAGUCCACCCCCAGCAACACCUCCUCUAAUAAGGUCUUGUAUCCUAACCCUCCCUAAACGGUCUACCAACUGGGAACAAAAAUUCAGAUGUAUGAGCCUGUGGGAGCCAGUCUGCCACUGUUACCGUGACAGAUACCAGAAUACACACAGGAAAGGGUUAGGUAGGCUCACAGGUUUGAGGUUUCGGUCCACAUUUGGCCCUGCCAUAUUUGGGCUGUGGCAAAAUAGUGCAUGACCAUGGCAGCACACCAUGAAGCCAUUGACUUUGUGACUGGAAUGUGAAAAUCAAGGAGGAGGAAAGGGCUGGGUUCUCAAUAUCCCCUUCAAGGUCAUGUUCCAAACGACCAGAAGAUCCCCCAGGAAGAAAACCGCUUGAAGGUCCCCCAAUCUCCAAACAGAGGCACAGGUCGGGAAGCAAACCUGUAACACCCAGACGAUCUGGGAGACAUGCCUCCCAAGUGUCACAGUAAG